UUAGAACAUAAAAAAUAUCUUCUCCAGAUGAAUAUUAAUUCAUUAUUAUUCUUCUAUUCUACACAAGCUGUAGGAGUCAAACCGUACGCUGACUGUGGAUGUUGCCAACCUUGCCGGUGAGAAAGAGGAGCUCAACAAUAAACCGAAGCACAUACAGCAAAAGCUGGAGAAGAUCAAAGAAGAAGAGAAACAGAUGAAAUCUCUCACAGUGUCGUAUGAGAAGCAGAUACAGGUGGAGAAAACACUCAAGAUUCAGGCUAUAAACAAGUUGGCGGAGGUCAUGAAGAAGACGGACGGCAGGCCACACCAAAUCAACAACACAGACAUCCGCAGGAAGGAGAAGGAGAUCAGACAACUCCAGCUGCAGCUCCGCACGAAAGAAAAGCUUAACCACUCCA